GUCAGGGUGGUGGAGUGGUUUGAGUGUUGGACUACGACUCUGGGGAUCAGGGUUCAAUUCCCUGCUUGGCCA
rnacentral:tRNA from 1 species